UACGUAGGCAGCGAGCGUUGUUCGGAGUUACUGGGCGUAAAGGGUGUGUAGGCGGUUCUUUAAGUUUGGUGUGAAAUCUCCCGGCUCAACCGGGAGGGUGCGCCGAAUACUGAGGGACUUCGAGUGCGGGAGAGGAAAGUGGAAUUCCUGGUGUAGCGGUGAAAUGCGUAGAUAUCGGGAAGAACACCCGUGGCGAAGGCGGCUCUCUGGGACGGUACUGACGCUGAGACGCGAAAGCGUGGGGAGCGAACAGG
rnacentral:rRNA from 1 species